GACAGAGGAUGCAAACGUUGCUCGGAAUUACUGGGCGUAAAGCGCACGUAGGCGGCUUUCUAAGUCGGGGGUGAAAUCCUGGAGCUCAACUCCAGAACUGCCUUCGAUACUGGAGAGCUCGAGUCCGGGAGAGGUGAGUGGAACUGCGAGUGUAGAGGUGAAAUUCGUAGAUAUUCGCAAGAACACCAGCGGCGAAGGCGGCUCACUGGCCCGGUACUGACGCUGAGGUGCGAAAGCGUGGGGAGCAAACAGG
rnacentral:rRNA from 1 species